rnacentral:rRNA from 1 species
GACGAACCGUCCAACCGUUAUUCGGAAUCACUGGGCUUACAGAGUUCGUAGGCGGUCUGGAAAGUUGGGUGUGAAAUCCCUCGGCUCAACCGAGGAACUGCGCUUGAAACUACCAGACUCGAGGGAGAUAGAGGAAAGCGGAACUGAUGGUGGAGCGGUGAAAUGCGUUGAUAUCAUCUGGAACACCGGUGGCGAAAGCGGCCCACUGGGUCUUUUCUGACGCUGAGGAACGAAAGCUAGGGUAGCGAACGGG